CUCCAUAAAACAUUAAUAUUUUAAUGAAAAAUCUUAGCUUCAUGUUUCUAUCCAAAGACACUCAAAACUAGUUUUUCUCCCCCCUUAAUUUUGACCUAUAAUGGGACCAGUUUGGCUUUUAUUUUUUUUUUGUAUUUUAGACCAUUUUUUUUUAAAGAUUAAACAACCAGGCUAGCAAAAAGGUACCCAAUACAUACUUUUCUUAUAUCAAACAAGCUAGUAUUUCAAUACAAUGUAACUAUACAGAAUAUAUACAUUACACAGAUGAUCACAAAGCAAACACUACAGGCUCAGAACAGAUUGGAAAACCCAUGAUAUUCACAUUGGUUACAAGAACUCUAAAAAUGAUUGUAACGUUGAAACGGCACUUGGUUUACAAAAGAAGUCACAAAAAUAGAUAUAGCCACCAAGAACUAUGGUUCCUGAAAAAUACUAAUAGCCAGAUAGGAUUCUAUAAAAUGUGAAGUGUAUUUAAACAUCGUAUACAUUAAAAAACAAAACCAAACCCAAAAAAAACCCAACUCUGGGAAGUCAAUAAACAUGCCAAGUAAUCUAGCUGUGGCCAGCAUCAACAAGAGAAGCUGUACUGGGGAUGAGAUGACAACUGGAUAUACGGCUGGUGACUGGAGACUGGCACAGUUAAAGGGGGUUUCACUGGUACUAAAAUGCACAAAGAAGCCCAACAAUAAUUUAAUUCACAUUUUUUUUGUUUUCCCUCUUUUCCCUCUUCGGGGUUUCACCAUAGGGCAGCACCUUAAAGUGAAGGCACUGCGGGAACAGGGCAAAGAAGCUGUCCAAGGACUUGGUGUAGCCAGGGCUAUAGGUCAGGAUAUCAAAAGCAUGCAUCAGUUAAAGGAAUGGUGAAACAAAAUCACUCCUCUGGGGACUUCAACAACCCUCAGGAAGACUGUAGGUAACAGUUGCCACACAGCACCAGGAGCUCAGACGGCUUUAUUUUGUUGUUAGUGCAACCAGGGUUGUAGUUGAGACCUGUGGGACACUGAAUUACUGUGAUAGCACACGUUGAGUUAACAAAAACCCAGAGCAGUAGCACUGUUGCAUUAAAGUAAUUCACAUUUGGUUCUUUUAUGGUACAUUUCCUCCAAUACUUGGAAGUGACUCCAUUUCUUAGGGACCUCUGAUGGGGCUGAGGUCCCGUCCGGCCUUGAACCCUCUUAUCUGUCAUCAAGAUGCUAUGGAAUUUAUUAUGUCCAUAACUGGAGAUGAGAACCCUCCAAAACCAGGUUUCACCUCGUAAGCAAAACUCCAACUUAAUGGAUCUGAAUGAACAUUAGCUAUUUUCCCAUAUUCUGAUGGUGUGGAAGUUGCAAUGGACGCAGGAGCAACGGGUGCUCCUACAGCCCCAGUUUCUCCAUCCCUGCAGGGUGCACAAAGCUCCCCUUCUAUUUGCAUAUAAAAUGCUGCCUGGUUCCUCUCAGAGAGAGACCAGUAAUAGUCUCAGUGCUCUUAUGUCCUGGGGCUGGAGGGGAAAGCCAGCAACCAAGAAAUGACUGAAGCCCUCAUAUAAAAACUUGAAACCAUAGCUUAAAAACAAUAACAUUUUUAUCCCAGAAGGGACAUAUAGGGAUCAUAGUCUUACAAAAUAUAUUUGACUGCAUUGGCAGCUAUUACUUCUUUUAAAAAGCUUAAAUUCACACCUUUUAGACUCAAGAUACAUGUGAACCCAGAACCAUUUCCCAUAACUUAGUUUACUAAUCUCUCACUAUGAGAGACUUGACCAUAGUAUCUGCGAGCCUGACAACUGAACUCAAACUCCAACACACAUCUUGUUUAAUGCAGUGUUAAGACCAGUGACAAAAGCAGUUCUGACCAGGAGCUUCAGUGGCUACAAGUGUAGGUGUCCCCAUGGAUUUCCAGUCUCUGCAUGGAAAACCAAACCAAACCCUCACAACUCAGCCAAACCUCUCGCACAGCUAAAACGUUGCUUCUUUUUCUUCCACUCUUUGUGGGGAAAUAAAAAGCUUCUCAGUUUUCCCCCCUCUCCCAAAACACCACAUUAAAUCAGGAACAAAGCCUAUCCCUUCCUUUCCCGUUGUUCCCAUCAGAUGUACUGCUCUACACGAUACACAAGGAGUAAAGACCCUGCACAGACUCCGAGGAUCCGGGUCCCUGGCAUAGGGCAGAACCUUGUUAGUUCUGUGGUAGUGAAGGCACUCUGCUUGCAAAAUGAACAGGGGAGGAAAGGAUUUGCUACUGAGUGCAAAGAUUGGUGCCACGUGGGAGAAGGACAUGCAAAAACAAGACAGAAAUCACUUUGUGGAUGAAUUUGGACACUACUCAAUGACAAAGAAUUGGCUGCAAUGGGUCAUAAGUGGAGCUAUUUGGAACCCAACCACUCGUAACUUAAAGAAGAUGAAGGGAUUGGAGCAUCUCCAUAGAGGCCGAGAGUGAUCUGGUUUGUCUGGAGAAGGCUCAGGGGGAUCUUACCAAUGUUUGAAACCAGUGGAUGGGAAGGGGCAAAGAUGGAGCCAGACCUUCCCCAGUGGGCACAAACUGCAAUACAAGUAAUGCCACCUAAAGACACUGACCCCUUUUUAGGGUGAGGGUGGCCAGACACAGGAACAGGCUCCCCAGAGAAACUGGGGAGUCUCCACCUUUGCUGAUGUUUAUCUGGCUGGACUGAGCAACCUGUUGUGCUGACUCUGCUUUGAGAGCAGGGGUUGAAGUAGAUGAUCUCCAAGUCCCUUCCAGUUCAACUCUUGUGGCAUUCUGUGAUCCUUGUCAAGCAGAAGUAGAAAUAUAUAUCAAAUAAGGGGGUUGUUUUUGGUGGGGGGAAGAAAAAAGGGGAAAAACACGAGAAAAAAUAAACAGAAAAUAAGAACAAAAGGGAAAGAAGAAAAGGAAAGGAGAUAAAACAAGAAAAUGCAGUCCAGAGUUCAAACCCCUCUGAUAAUGGACUGAAAGAAAUUUAUGCUUUAGGUUUAAUCCCAAGUGUAGUUUAAGGCAAGUUUCUUCCAGCUUAGUGAGAUCUCCACCUCGCUCAAUUUGGAAUCUAAGCAUAUUAGAAACAGAGACUGGUUUAAGAUGUCCUAUGUUUUACAUCUCUCUUGUGAAGAACACCAGCAUUUCAAAGAACUGAGCACUUCCAACAAGUUAGGGAGGAAAAAUGAAGUGAUAUUUGUAUUUCAUGUGGGGUUACUUCAAUGGAGAAAAGAGCACUUAACAAGGAACAAACAGGAAUAUGACCAAGUGAACCCAAGCCUAAACCACGCAAACAAAAUAAACUCUGUUGUUCCUGCAGUUGAAUCAGAUUGAGAAGUGAGAAUUAAGAUGUUACACUGAGAUUACAGGGUUGAAAAGAUAAUGCCAGGCUGGAUGGGGCUUGGAGCAACACGCUCUAGCGGAAGGUGUCCCUGCCCAUGGCAGGGGCUUGGAGCUGGAUGAGCUUUAAGGUCCUUUUCAGCCCAAACCAGUCUGGGAUCCUAUGAUAACACAGUGCAAUGAACAAUGAAACCCAUGGCUUGCCUUGUACCAAGGUGGUAGCAGUUAAUGAUACUUUUCUUUUCAAGGAAGAACACAUUAGAGCUACAAAGUCUUUCCCCCCCUCCCCUUCUCUUUGGUAUUCAGAAAGCAGUUUGCCUUCUGACACAGAAGUUUAAUCCAGAUAUGUCUAUUCUGUAUGUGUGCACCUCCUCACCCUGUUUAGCAAAGCACCCAAAGGGUGAAAUUAUCAGAUUCUGACAGAAAAUGAUGUCCACCUUUGAUUCUGACCUCUGUGCAGGCUGGAAAUGCAUUUGUGUGUGAAGUACUCUUUAUUACAGCAAUCACAAAGGAUUCUCCUAGACCUGCAAAGUGGAGUUAACACUUAACAGACAAAAAGAAAUGAUGUAUUUGAGUUCAGUGUCAUAGCCCUAUAAUUCAGGAUAAAACUCAGCAAAAGGCAUUGGUUUCUCAGUGACAGGAAUUGGAAGUGGAAGAAGAGAACUGGUCUUUAAAUGCAUCCCAUCAACAGACACUGGACUAAUUGACAGUACAGCAUCCCCCAAAAAAGAGUUUCUCCUUCAAGCCCUUUUAAGAAGACUUACAAAGGUAGACACACACGACUGGAUUGUAGCAGAGAACUUUGCAGCAUGUUCCUAAAACACCCUUUGGUGCAGAAACUUCAUUCCAGUAACUUGGAAAGGACUUAAAACCCAGCCGGUUUUGCUCUGUUUAACUAAAAUGUGUGGGCUUUACCUAAACCACAGCAGAGAAAUUGCUGAAGUCACUGAAACCCUUUGAGCUCUUUCGAAAGGGCAAUAAACCUUUCUCCUUACCCAAGUUGGCUAUUAGUAGAAACAACUCAGAGCCACAGAGUAUCAGAGCUGCCUAAGCUAACAGAAUACAGGUUGAUCUUGCAAUAUAACAUGACUUUUGUGCCUUCUGUUUUGUCAGGAGCAACC
ensembl:lncRNA